rnacentral:rRNA from 1 species
CCUACGGGAGGCAGCAGUGGGGAAUAUUGGGCAAUGGAGGAAACUCUGACCCAGCAACGCCGCGUGAAUGAUGAAGGUCUUCGGAUUGUAAAGUUCUUUUCUAAGGGAAGAAGAAAGUGACGGUACCUUAGGAAUAAGCCUCGGCUAACUACGGGCCAGCAGCCGCGGUAAUACGUAGGAGGCAAGCGUUAUCCGGGAUGACUGGGCGUAAAGGGUGCGUAGGUGGUUUGAUAAGUUGGAAGCGUAACUCCGAGGCUCAACCUCGGCACUACUACCAAAACUGUCGGACUUGAGUGCAGGUUGGGCAACUGAGAUUCCUAGUGUAGCGGUGGAAUGCGUAGGUAUUAGGGAGGACACCAGUGGCGAAGGCGAGUUGCUGGACUGUAACUGACACUGAGGCACGAAAGCGUGGGGAGCAAACAGGAUUAGAUACCCGAGUAGUC